GGGAUGCGUCAAUAAAACAACAACAAUAAACAGAGCAGCCACACUCUCUACACCUUGGAGCAAAGAAUAUGUCACACAAAUAAGAACAAACUCGAUCGAAGCCGUUGACGAAUAUGAAAUGCCAAAUCCUACUCCGACGACUAACAUCACUAUUGGGUUUUUAGACAGGGAAAUUGUUAUAUAUUCAGUAGUUGUUACAUGUAUCUUAGUCAUAAUAGGAC